AUGUCCUAUCGCCACGACGGAACUGCGCCGGCCCACCGCGAGGAGCCGAACCGGACGGCGGCGCCGUCGCCAGCGCGGGCCGGCAGCAUGACGACGCGCGCGGACGCGCUCCACGCCGGGUCCCUCCGCAGCAGCCGCCUGUCCUGCUCCGUCCUCCGCAGCAGCACCUCCUCGGCGCGCUCGCGCAGGCGCCGCGCGUCGGCCACGACGGCCUCGUCCAGCCCCGCCCACUUCCACUCCGGCGGGGACGCCGCGCUCUCCUCCACCCGCUUCAGCACGCAGACGAGCUCCAUCGCGUCGGCCAGCCCGAGCGUGUCGAUGCGCUCGCUCAUCUCCCGGACCCUCGCGGCGAUGUUGCGCUCCGCCGUGACGCGGUCCUCCUCGGCCAGCCGGAUGGCCUCCCAGACGAGGGCGUGGGCCUGCGGCGCGCAUGAAGGGGGCGGCGCCUGGCGGACGGCGGCGGCGACGGACGCGAAGGCGGCGAGCUCGGAGACGAGGUGCGGGUUGGGGAGCGCGGUGAGGUGCUCGGGGUCGCAGGAGGCGUCCGGCAGGAGGAGGAGCACCUCGAGCAGGCGCGCGGAGAAGCGGACCCAGGAGGCGGCCGCGAAGGAGCGGCCCAGCGGGAAGGCGGCGAGCGCGAGAGGGUUGCGGCCCGAGGCCGGGUGGCGGAGGAGGGCGACGAGGAGCUGGUCGCGGAGGAUGAAGGCGCCGCGGGCGAGCAGGACCCUGAGCGCGACGAGGCACUUGAGGGCCACGGAGGCGUCGCCGCCGCCGGCGGCCGCGGCGCGCAGGCGGUCCGUGAAGGCGGACGCGAGCGCCGCGGCGGAGAGGCGCGAGCCGCGGCCGAAGGCGAGGAGCGCGUCCAGGUGGUGCGCGGACGGCGGGACCGUCGACGGGUGGUGCGCCGUCGCCCGCAGGACCGCGCCCUGCGCGUCGGCGCCGGGGGCCGGGGAGGCGGCCCCCGGGGAGAGGAGCGUCGCCGCGAGCCGCAGGAGCUUGAGGCCCAUGGCGGGCGAUUGGCGCCGCGCGAGCAGGUGGGAUGGAGCCGCGAAGAGGUUGGGGAUCGGGGGGCGGGACUUGGCAGGAAGCGGUCAGUUUAUAAUCCUUGCUGGUGGCGGGGCCGCCGUCGGAUGCGACGGGCGGGGCUAUCGGCGCCGUCGGAUCGGUUUGACUCGAUCAAUUUGCAUCUUUGGAUGA
rnacentral:rRNA from 1 species